rnacentral:rRNA from 1 species
CCUACGGGUGGCAGCAGUGAGGAAUAUUGGUCAAUGGACGGAAGUCUGAACCAGCCAUGCCGCGUGCAGGAAGACGGCUCUAUGAGUUGUAAACUGCUUUUGUACAAGGGUAAACCUGAAUACGUGUAUUCAGCUGAAAGUACUGUACGAAUAAGGAACGGCUAACCCCGGGCCAGCAGCCGCGGUAAUACGGAGGAACCAAGCGUUAUCCGGAUUUCAUGGGUUUAAAGGGUGCGUAGGCGGGUUGUUAAGGUAGAGGGGAAAUGUCCGAGCUUAACUCGGGAACUGCCUCUAAUACUGGUGAUCUAGAGAGUAGAUGCGGUAGGCGGAAUGUAUGGUGUAGCGGUGAAAUGCUUAGAGAUCAUACAGAACACCGAUUGCGAAGACAGCUUACCGGUCUAUAUCUGACGUUGAGGCACGAAAGCGUGGGGAGCAAACAGGAUUAGAUACCCGGGUAGUC